GGGGGUGUACUGGUUUCGACGGGGAUUGCGAAGGACGGGAUAAGCGAGCCGAGGACCCUGGCCUCGUAAAAACGGGGAACUAUAAAAAAUAACUGACACUAACAGUUACGCUUUCGCUGCCUGAUUGGCGGCCGUCGCCCUGAAGCGCUCACGGCUUCAGCAAGCGGCGUCAUCGAUGUGAGGAACAGGCCCGCCUAAGCUUUGCGGCAAGGCCGGUAAAAUGAAGCUACCAAACCCGAAAGCCCGUUUACAGGCGUUCGGAUGCGGGAAAUCCAAAAUGUAAACUGCGCUCGGAGAAAAUGCCGUACUUUGGUCUUCGGACAGGAGUUCGAUUCUCCUCACCUCCACCA
rnacentral:tmRNA from 1 species